GUGCACCCUCAGUAAAUGGGAGCUUCCUGCCUCCCUCCUGACAGGGGCAGUGGAGGAAGAGGACACACUGAGGGCAGAAAGAAGCUUCUAGCACCUGGGCGAUGUGAAAGCAGUCUUUUGAUCCUCACUGCAAAGACUAAGGGGUAACAUGGACUCAGUGACCCCCACCAAUAAAGAGCAGGGUCAGGGUAGGGGGUGCGCAGGGGAAGGAGAGCAGCCGCCACGGUGGGCCCAGUGAGGACACCUGAGGCAAGGAAGGAGUCAGAGGCCAGGGUUCUGGCUCAGGCUCACAAAGGCAGGCAGGGACCACCCAGCUGUGAACCUGGGCAUGGGGACAUUAAGGAUCCAAGAAAAUCAGCCCCCCCUUUCACUGUGGAACGCCUCACCUUCAGGAAACACAAGUCAGAAAGGGUUUCUCUAAAUCCAGGAGGUUGGAUCCCCAGGAGGCCACUGAAGGCAGGGCAAGGCUUCACCCAGCCAGAGAGCGGGACACCCCAAGCCAGCCCUGGCUUUCCCAGGCCUGUCCCUUGGGGCCAGGGCACUGAUGCCGCCAGGCACACCAGGCCUGCAGUAGUCCAGUUUUCCUCACGAAGCCUCCAGCCUGUCCUGAGCCACCCUGCCUGUGAAGGACAGGCACUAAGACCUCGCUGAGGAGUUCUGGGUGUGGGGGUGGGAUGGGGGAUGCUCUUGGCUUUCUAUGACAGUUUUCCCUGGUCAGGAGGCCAACAAGUAGAGCACCUCAGUUUACAGAGAAAAGUCAAGAAGAGCUGUGUAUGUAGCUGAACUGGCAUGGCCACAGGCUGCCCAACUCUUGCUUCUGUGGAGCCCGGGGGCUCACUGAGGGAGCCUGGGCUGUCUGGACUGGGCCCCUCCCAGCUGAGAGCCAGCCCUCAGGUGUGCUCCCUGAGGCAGGGGGCGGACCUGUCACAGCCCGGCUCCUCUCUGCAUCCAUUCAGUAGCUCACAGGUCUGUAGGUCAGACGUCCUGGCCCUGUGUGGGUGGGUUCUCUGCUCAGGGCCUUACAAGGCUGAAAUCAAAGCAUCUGCCAGGGGCUUCCCUGGUGGCGCAGUGGUUAAGAAUCCACCUGCCAAUGCAGAGGACACAGGUUCGAGUCCUGGUCCGGGAACAUCCCACAUGCCGCGGAGCAACUAAGCCCGUGUGCCACAACUACUGAGCCUGUGCUCUGGAGCCCAAGAGCCACAACUACUGAUCCUGCAUGCCACAACUACUGAAUCCUGCACACCUAGAGCCCGUGCUCCACAACGAGAAGCCACCACAGUGAGGAGCCCGCGCACCACAACCAAGAGUAGCCCCCACUCACCGCAAUUACAGAAAGCCCACGCACAGCAACAAAGACCCAAUGCAGCC
rnacentral:lncRNA from 1 species